GGGCGCGUGGCUCAAUUGGCAAGAGCACCUGUCUUAUCGGAGAAGCAGGUUCGAUUCCUGCCCGCCCGCUA
rnacentral:tRNA from 1 species